rnacentral:rRNA from 1 species
CAGUCGCCGCGGUAAUACGUAGGUGGCAAGCGUUGUCCGGAAUGAUUGGGCAUAAAGGGCGCGCAAGCGGCUGUGUAAGUCAGUCUAGAAAGUGCGGGGCUAAACCCCGUGAGAGGAUGGAAACUGGACAGCUGAGAGUGUCGGAGAGGAAAGCGGAAUUCCUAGUGUAGCGGUGAAAUGCGUAGAUAUUAGGAGGAACACCGGUGGCGGAAGCGGCUUUCUGGACGACAACUGACGCUGAGGCGCGAAAGCCAGGGGAGCAAAUGGGAUUAGAUACCCCUGUAGUCCCUGUCUCUUAUAC